rnacentral:rRNA from 1 species
GAUGAACGCUGGCGGCGUGCCUAAUACAUGCAAGUCGAGCGAACAGACGAGGAACUUGCUCCUCUGACGUUAGCGGCUUACGGGUGGGUAACACGUGGAGAACCUCGCUAUAACACUGGGAUAACUUCGGGAAACCGGAGCUAAUACCGGAUAAUAUAUUCAACCGAAUGUUUUAAUAGUGAAAUACGGUUUUGUUGACACUACUAGAUGGAUCCGCGCCGCGUUAGCAAGUUGGUAAGGUAAUGGCAUACCAAGGCAACGAUGGGUAGCCGACCUGAGAGGGAGAUCGGCCACACUGGAACUGAGACACAGUCCAGACUCCUACGGGAGGCCGCAGUAGAGAAUCUUACGCAAUGGGCGAAAGCCUGACGGAGCAACGCCGCGUGAGUGAUGAAGGUCUUCGGAUCGUAAAACUCUGUUAUUAGGGAAGAACAAAUGUGUAAGUAACUAUGCACGUCUUGACGGUACCUAAUCAGAAAGCCACGGCUAACUACGUG